AACGAACGCUGGCGGCAGGCUUAACACAUGCAAGUCGAACGAGAUCUUCGGAUCUAGUGGCAGACGGGUGAGGAACACGUGGGAACAUCCCUUUCAGUUCGGAAUAACGUUGGGAAACUAACGCUAAUACCGGAUACGUCCUUCGGGAGAAAGAUUUAUCGCUGAAAGAUUGGCCCGCGUCUGAUUAGCUAGUUGGUGAGGUAAUGGCUCACCAAGGCUACGAUCAGUAGCUGAUCUGAGAGGAUGAUCAGCCACAUUGGGACUGAGACACGGCCCAAACUCCUACGGGAGGCAGCAGUGGGGAAUAUUGGACAAUGGGCGCAAGCCUGAUCCAGCCAUGCCGCGUGAGCGAUGGCGGCCUUCGGGUUGUAAAGCUCUUUUGUCCGGGAAGAUAAUGACUGUACCGGAAGAAUAAGCCCCGGCAAACUUCGUGCCAGCAGCCGCGGUAAGAC
rnacentral:rRNA from 1 species